AUGCAUCGGAAAGAGCCUGGGGCAAGGCUGGAGGCCACAAGAGGAGCUGCCAGGGCCACAUAAGCAGGGAACAAAGCCGAUGAUCAGACUCCCAUCAGUGGGCCACCUUGGUGAAGGGAAAUGCCCAAGUUCUCAGCACCUGCGGAGCCUAAGACAUAACAAGCAGCAUGCCCUGACACUCACCAAGGCCAGGUGCUGUGCUAGCAAGGAGUACAGCCACGACCUGAAUCCUGAUAAAUCAUUAAUUGAUCACAGGAAAAAAAUGGACAAUUCUAACACCAUUGCACGUUUCAAUCCCCCUCCACGUAAGUGCUCCACCUGUUUCUGUACAGAAGAGAAAUCAGAAUGCCAGAGAAAUGAAGAAAGUUCUCCAGGGUCAUGUAAUCACCAAAUAAUGUCUGCUUUGACCAUCUCUGCAUUUUGUGCUACACCAAGAUUUAAGCAGCUGUUCAAAGAAACAGUAGAAUAGAUGUCACAGAUGUAA